UACAGAGGUCUCAAGCGUUGUCCGGAUUUAUUGGGCGUAAAGAGCUCGUAGGCGGUUCAGUAAGUCGGGUGUGAAAACUCUGGGCUCAACCCAGAGAGGCCACUCGAUACUGCUGUGACUUGAGUACGGUAGGGGAGCGGGGAAUUCCUGGUGUAGCGGUGAAAUGCGCAGAUAUCAGGAGGAACACCGGUGGCGAAGGCGCCGCUCUGGGCCGAAACUGACGCUGAGGAGCGAAAGCGUGGGUAGCAAACAGG
rnacentral:rRNA from 1 species